AGGUGCUUGCAUCUUGAUUUAGAUUUUGAACGAGUGGCGGACGGGUGAGUAACACGUGGGUAACCUGCCCUUAAGUGGGGGAUAACAUUUGGAAACAGAUGCUAAUACCGCAUAAAUCCAAGAACCGCAUGGUUCUUGGCUGAAAGAUGGCGUAAGCUAUCGCUUUUGGAUGGACCCGCGGCGUAUUAGCUAGUUGGUGAGGUAACGGCUCACCAAGGCAAUGAUACGUAGCCGAACUGAGAGGUUGAUCGGCCACAUUGGGACUGAGACACGGCCCAAACUCCUACGGGAGGCAGCAGUAGGGAAUCUUCCACAAUGGACGCAAGUCUGAUGGAGCAACGCCGCGUGAGUGAAGAAGGCUUUCGGGUCGUAAAACUCUGUUGUUGGAGAAGAAUGGUCGGCAGAGUAACUGUUGUCGGCGUGACGGUAUCCAACCAGAAAGCCACGGCUAACUACGUGCCAGCAGCCGCGGUAAUACGUAGGUGGCAAGCGUUAUCCGGAUUUAUUGGGCGUAAAGCGAGCGCAGGCGGUUUUUUAAGUCUGAUGUGAAAGCCCUCGGCUUAACCGAGGAAGUGCAUCGGAAACUGGGAAACUUGAGUGCAGAAGAGGACAGUGGAACUCCAUGUGUAGCGGUGAAAUGCGUAGAUAUAUGGAAGAACACCAGUGGCGAAGGCGGCUGUCUGGUCUGUAACUGACGCUGAGGCUCGAAAGCAUGGGUAGCGAACAGGAUUAGAUACCCUGGUAGUCCAU
rnacentral:rRNA from 1 species